AUUCUGUAUUGCUAGCAAUAUUGCCCAUGGAGACUGCACAUCGCUAAUGUUUAGCAAUUGACGUCUGAAUAUAUUUCAUGCUAUACAUUGCUAGCAAUGAACUGUAAUUUGGUGGUUUGACAGAGCUGUUUUCAUUUCCACAGAAAUUUUGAAAAACAUGCACAUUAUGCAUGUACGGUCGCAUGAUGCCAGCAAAGAUGGAAUGCCAAUGUUUUAUGUUUUGUUGCGAAAAAAGUAAGUUUCUCCUCACGAACCCAGAUAACUCCUCAAGAACCCCCGAGUUCGAAGAGACAGAAUACGAAUCAGCCACAUCGAUCGGAGCACAACGCUCCGCUCCAAAUCGCACCCUGGGUGUUGGGGGCUGAAAGUUGCACCCCUACAGAGCAGAGAUUGAAGGUGCUUUUAACAAUGCGUCUCACGCAAGCGGGAUUAAGCAUUGAAGAAAAGAAAUGUGGAAGCUCCUAUAUGCAGAUGGAUAGAGGCUGUACUGCUUACCAGGAUUGCUGAAGCCACAGUGGGGGAGAGCAAGAUACGUCUUGGUACUACGAGACGUUGCCCUCAGGGCGGGGGACACUCUUCUAUGGAGUCUCGUAAUAUAUGAACUCCUUGAGCUGCUUACGAGCAAUGGAAAUCGGUGUGCGUAAGGC